UCUGCUUCUCAUUAUGGAAGAAGAUGCCAGCCCGUUACCCGAGGAGGGUCUUUUGGACAAAGUCCCUCUUGUGGAAGAUGGAAGAGAUGCGCCAGACUCUGUAUCUUCUCCAGAAGUUGCUGAGAUGACUGCUUCAGCCCACUGUUUAGAGAAAGCUGAGGAUGCUGCUGUGAAUAAAGGGAAGAAAGAUGUCCAGGCGAAGAUCC